AUGGCAAUGAUGAUUGGCGCAGGGGUACUGACCUCAGCUAGAUCAUGGGAGCUGAAUGUGAAUUCUGCUUAUUUUUCCAGUGUGACGAACAUGUGGUUGGCUGCCUGGAAACAGAUUCACAUGAAAACUUUGCCUAGAACUGAGCCAU
ensembl:snoRNA